CAACCAUGCCGGCUGCCAUAAGUGUUGUUGAAUCAGUGAAUCCUCCAUCUGAUCAGUGGGUUGAGUGUCUGCCUGCAGUUGAUUCACAUCAGCCCGAUUAUGCAGAGGAGCAGCAGAAUGACAUCAUUCACAGUAUCGAACAGCUGAAUGACAAAGUUGAUGCACUACAUCCUUGGACCAUCCCUGAAAGUGUCGGUUCCCAGACAUACCAGGAGAGAGAACCAUGUGGACGCUGCUGACAUGAUUGUCCGAAGGUUGGCCAGCUAAACCAGAAGUGUGUGCUUGAACCAAUUACAAGCAGUGCCUGGAAGUAAUGGGGCUUCCAGUAAAGUCACUCAAAGAACUCAAGAGUGCUAAUGACAGACUAGAUGGUGAGGACAAGUGAACCAGGCACCAGAGGAAUGCCCUAAUCAAUGCCUUGACUGCAUACACCCCUGGAAUGGAACAAUGGAAGAAUACGGUAACAAGAAUUGUCAGGGGCUGCUUGUACGCUACGGCUCCCGUUUAUCUUUGGCAGUGCUUCAGCAGUCAGGGCAAGUCAGGAACCGUCAAAGGCAGCCUUGCCAGGGACGUGCCACAAAUUUAGAGUUGUUA